GGCUCAGGAUGAACGCUAGCUACAGGCUUAACACAUGCAAGUCGAGGGGCAGCAUGAUCAAAGCUUGCUUUGAUUGAUCGGCGACCGGCGCACGGGUGAGUAACGCGUAUCCAACCUUCCCUAUAGUAGUGGGUACGCCCGGCGAAAGUCGGAUUAAUACACUAUGUUGUAUUUAGAGGACAUCUGAAGAAUACCAGAGGCUUGCCGCUAUAGGAUGGGGAUGCGUCUGAUUAGAUAGUAGGCGGGGUAACGGCCCACCUAGUCGACGAUCAGUAGGGGUUCUGAGAGGAAGGUCCCCCACAUUGGAACUGAGACACGGUCCAAACUCCUACGGGAGGCAGCAGUGAGGAAUAUUGGUCAAUGGACGGGAGUCUGAACCAGCCAAGUAGCGUGCAGGAUGACGGCCCUAUGGGUUGCAAACUGCUUUUAUACGGGGACAAAGUGAGCCACGUGUGGCUUUUUGUAGGUACCGUAUGAAUAAGGACCGGCUAAUUCCGUGCCAGCAGCAGC
rnacentral:rRNA from 1 species